AAUCUGGAUUUGGCUAGUAGGUGAUAAGUCUGUUGGAAUUAUAUAUUAGGAAAAACCAGGUGGAAUGGGGUACUCUCCAUUGAAAUAGAGAUAAUACCAGGUGGAAUGGGGUACUCUCCAUUGAAAUAGAGUCAAUACCAGGUGGAAUGGGGUACUCUCCAUUGAAAUAGAGACAAUACCAGGUGGAAUGGGGUACUCUCCAUUGAAAUAGAGACAAUACCAGGUGGAAUGGGGUACUCUCCAUU